CCCCCCCCCCCCCCGAUACAAAAUCUGCCCCGUGAACGUGUGUAUUGACGCCUCUACACAGCCAAAACCCCCCUCCAGCUUUCAAUCUGAGGAAGAUGUCACCUUCUCUGACCUGGUCCCCGACCAUUCUUCCCUCUUCUCACCUACCAGUCCGCCCCACUCUCAGUGGUCCUCUCACUUCACCUUUGCUGACUUUCCCAUGUUCCCAGGACGCACCCCAUUUUCUUCCCCCCACCACUCUCCUCAAGAUUACGCACCCACCAGUCCUGUGAAUUAUCAAUAAAACUACAUAUUACUCAUACUAAGUGUCCCUCAUGUUUAUUUCAUGUCAUUUUUAUCCACAACACAGCCCACUUGAAGUACAUCGACAAUGUCUCGAGAGUCCUUGAAUGGAUGAAAUCACUGUGCCAGCGGUACAAGGUCACUCCGGCCAAGUUAUUUCUGACGCGUGUUUCCAAGUUCCUCCAUUAACUCGAUGAGUAACUGUCCAAGGGCCGAGUUGGCUCCACGAGGCUGUGGAGUCUCCAGAGACUGCUGCAGUGGGAGUGCAGACAUCUGUCCGGUCGAGUCGUGCUCCACAGGCAAGGCGUGCGAGCGGAGAAGAGUGAGGGAGUACUUACAGCUCCUGCACGGCAAACUGUCGGACGCUGUCCCUGUUUCACUGGAUGAUCUGAACUCGUCCAGCAGACCCGGACAUGCUCAACCAUUGCAUCGGGCUGCUGUGUGCUCACUUCUUUUCGGUCAGCGGACACAGGACCGGAGUCCUGCAGAACCUCACGACUGAGGAGUUUGAGAACCUCGAGAAGGCUGACUCUUUCUGAUCAAUGUGAAGCAGCACAAACCUGCCUCUGCUUUUGGACUCGCUAAGCUAGCCAUCACCAAGCUGGAGCUGAAGUGGCUGAAAGCUUUCUGCCGCCUGAGGAAGCAUAUGCCGGGAUAUGAGACUUCUGUGGGGUGGCUUUUCUUUUCUGGCACACAGGCCAGGAUUUCUGCGCAUGUCAAGCUUGCCCUGCGGGCACUCGUGGGAAGAGACAUCACUGUGUCGGACAUCCACACAGCUCUAGCAACCUACUGCGAACGCAAAAGACGAACAACGCAUGCUCGUGACCAAGACGAUGUGCUACAGCAAUUAGCUGAGUCGUGGAGCUGUCGGUCAGCGAGGCGCACUCCGCCCAGUCUGCGCUAGAGUCCGCUGCGGGCAUAGGUGCUACAUAGGCCGGUUGUUUUUGGCUAAUGGCCCUGUGUGUGUGUGUGUGUGUGUGUGUGUGUGUGUGUAAAUAUUUCAUUAAAAUGUUUGAACUGAAUUCCCCUUGUCAAAAGUACAGUAGCAUCACUCAUGGCGAGACCACACAACCGAAAUUUCCGAAAGUACAUGGACUGAGCUCCGGGCGAAGUUCGCAGGCUUUGCCCAGGGAGAGAGCGUCAAUUAGCUGAAUUUUUUCCUCGUUGAUUUCAAUGGUUUAUGCGUUCCUAGUCAGGGCAAGCUACUGUUUGUUGCACCUCUUCCAUCCUCCUCCACGGUCUGAAGCCAGCUGCAGCCACCUUUUCAUCAGCGUCACAAUCUCAGCACUUGUUGCCCUUGAUGUUAACGGGUUCUUUCGGACAGCAUCUAAUGAACAUGAGGCAAAACAGUUGACAACUUCUGCAAUUCGAGACACGCUAAAAAGGCUAUUUAUACUUCUACGUCAGACCUUUGCGUUGCCUGAUGUGCACCUCUAAAAAAAACUGUAAUGACGCGUCGUGUGUAUGCAGACAACAGUUGUGAUUGGUCAUUUGUGCAAACAGAGACCCUCCCCAGGAUGAUAAAUAUAUCUGCAGUAAUUUCAUAUUCACUGAGAAUAAAUGUAAUGAAGCAGAUUGCUUGUAGCUUAUAAUAAAAGUGCUGAGGCUUAUUACACACUUAUUCAAGUUACAGUUAAAUAAUGAAUAUGGGCUUAAAGUGCAGUCCCUCAUCUUUAAUUUAAAUGUAUUCACAUCCACAUUGGAGGAAGGGUUUAGGAAUUACAGCUCUUUAAUAUGUAGCCCCCUCUUUUUCAAGGGACCAAAAGUAAUUGGCCAUUUUACUCAAAAGCUGUUUCAUGGACAGGUGUGGGCUAUUCCUUCGCUAUUUCAUCAGUUAAGCACAGGGUAGCUGCAGGUAUCAGCACUUACAUUUUUGGAAAUUUCUUGCCUAUGAUAUUAAAAAGUAUUAGAUUUGAAGACCUGCACAUCACUUCAGUCAUGCUACACGAUGCAUCAGCUUUAAUGGAUUGUGUUCACGCAUAUACAUCCAUUCCUGGGUUUAAGUAAACUACAGCAGGGUAAACUUCUAUAGAGGUAGAUGGGAGACCAGAGCAAAUAUCCUGUUUGCAUUACCAUUUGCUCCAACAGUGAAAGAAAAAUCCAGUAUUUCCUUUCCAUGACUUUCCAGGAAAGGAGAAAUCUAGAGAGAUAAGACUUUAAGGACCUGCAGACAGCCUGUAAGCAGGUAAAAGGUCUGGAGUUGAUUCCAGGUGUGGCAUUCACAUUUGGAAGCUGUUGUUGUGAACGCACAGCAUGCGGUCAAAGGAGCUCUCAAUGCAAGUGAAACAGGCCAUCCUUAGGCUGUAAAAAAAGAUCCAUCAGAGAGAUAGCAGGAACAUUAGGAGUGACCAAAUCAACAGUUUGGUACAGUCUGAGAAAAAAAGAACACACUGGUGAGCUCUGCCACAGAAAGGCCUGGAUGUCCACAGAAAACAAAAGUGGUGGAUGAUCGUAGGAUCCUUUCCAUGGUAAAGAAAAACCCCUUCACAACACCAGCCAAGUGAAGAACACUCUCCAGGAGGCAGGCGUAUCAUUAUCCAAGUCUCCCAUGAAGAGACGACUUCACAAGAACAAAUACAGAGUUCACCACAAGGUGCAAACCAUUCAUAAGCCUCAAGAACAGAAUGGCCAGAUUAGAUUUUGCCAAAAAAAAAAACAUCUAAACAAGCCAGACCAAGCAUUCUUUGGGCAGAUGAAACUAAGAUCAAACUGUACCAGAAUGAUUGGAACAGCUCGUGAUCCAAAGCAUACCUCAUCAUCUGUAAAACACGGUGGAGGGAGUGUGAUGGCAUGGGCAUGCAUGGCUUCCAAUGGCACUGGGUCACUAGUAGUUAUUGGUGAUGUGACAGAAGAUGCAAUCAGAUGAAUUGUAUGUGAAUAUAUUGUCUGCUCAGAUUCAGCCAAAUUCAGUGAAGUUAAUUGGACGGCGCUUCACUUUACACAUGGACAAUGACUCAAAACAUACUGCAAAAGCAACCCAGGAGUUUUUUUAAAACAAAGAAGUGGAAUAUUCUGCAAUGGACAAGUCAGUCACCUGAUCUCAACCCGGUCGAGCAUGCAUUUCACAUGCUGAAGACAAAAUUCAAGGCAGAAAGAACCAUGAACAUACAACACCUGAAGACAGCUGCAGUAAAGGCCUAGCAAAGCAUCACAAAGGAGGAAACCCAGCAUUUGGUGAUGUCUGUGGGUUCCAGACUUCAAGCAGUCAUUGCCUGCAAAGUAUUCUUGACAAAGUAUUAAAAAUGAACAUUUUAUUUAUGAUUAUGUUCAUCUGUCCAAUUACAUAUGAGCCCCUUAAAUAAGGGAACUGUGUAUAAAAAUGGUUGCAAUUCCUAAACGUUUCAUAUGAUAUUUUUGUUCAACCCCUUGAAUUAAAGCUGACGGUUGCUGGCCUAAAUUUAGCCAAUUACCCAAAGACACUUAAAAUUCAACAU